AAUCAUGACACUAGUAUUUACUUAAGGUCCUUUUUUAGGUGCAAAAACUUCAAGCUAUUCUAAAGCCAAUGAUGUUGAGACGUCUCAAAGAGGAUGUAGAAAAGAACUUGGCCCCCAAAGAAGAAACUAUUAUUGAAGUUGAGCUAACAAACAUUCAGAAGAAAUAUUACCGAGCCAUCCUUGAGAAGAAUUUCACAUUUCUUUCCAA
rnacentral:lncRNA from 1 species